rnacentral:lncRNA from 10 species
UGAGAUCAUGCCACUGUACUCCAUCCUGGGCAACAGAGUGAGACCCUGUCUCAAAAACAACAACAAAUAAUCCAGCCAUUACCUAAAUGCCAAGAAAUAAAAGACUGAUGUAUAAAAACAGGGGCCUUUGGUGUGAUGGAUGCAUUAGCAUUUACAACUGAGUUUCCUGCUCUAGCCUAACCUGCCCUGCAGACCCCUGUAAGGCCUCCCCAAGUAUUUCUGGACUUCCUCUAAGUUCUCCCACAGGAACUCAUAAGUCAGACUAUUAGAUAUAAUCACAUGUGGAAUUUGCCUUAUUCUUUCUCUUUCUCCCCCUCUCCCUCCUCAGCAUCCUCUACUCACAACACCUUCUGAAGGAGCCUCAGUCCUGCCAUGACUGGCAGAACCUAUCACGAGCAUCGCCGGCAUCCAUGCCAACAGCUCACCUGCAAGGCUUUCAACUCUGCUGACCUUCAGAGUGUCAGAGCAGUGCCGAAGCCCAGGACAUGGCUGUCAUCCCUUAUUCCUCCUAGCUCAAAUCACCCUCAAUAUCCUGAUAGGAACCAAAUACCAGGCCAUCCCGCCAUUUCAGUCUCUGUCCCAAGGACUCCUCAUUAAAUUCCAUCAUCAUCCUUCAGCUAACAACCAAAAGCCUUCCUGAAACACAGCCUCAUGCAAAUAGGUACUGAGAAAACUUCCUAGCCCCUAGUUCUGCAAACACUCACCUACGCAGUUUAGAAUCAGCUAGGUUACGUGCCUGUGCAUUUAUAUAUGCAGAUAAAUAAUACAGCAGCUAUACUACAAGUAGGUGUCUCUUCAGCCUGUUUACUUUAAUUUUUACAUAUUAGGCUCAUCUCUGAAUGCCCAAAAGAGGAUGUAACUGAUAUAUUCUCCUGGCAAAAGAGUCAGGAGUCAUUUCCCAGCUGAGGGGAUGGGUUGAUGCUCUUCCAUUUUCUCUUAACCCUGUGCAAAUGGUGCUGGGCCAUAAGAGGACAUCUGGGAUUCAACUCCCACUGUGUAUGGCUAAGAAUCAGAACAAAGUAUGAUGUCCACAGAGGACCUUGAGCUCACAGGCUCCAUUCCAGAGAGUAAUACAGGGAUAGUAAACCACUGGAAGCAAAGACUCCCUGUGGAAUAGCUGCAGUCAUCCCCCAUGCUGGCCCAGCCACCUGAGAAGAGACAGUCUUGUUAGGUUGACUUAACUAUUGGUCACCUGAAUUUAAUUUGGCUUACUGAAUUAUGGAUGAAGGAGACAAUAAUCCCCAAGAGUUGGCCAAUCUUUGUCAUCAGGGGUUUUCUUAUGUUGGUGAGAGUGUUCUAGUACCUUAAUAGGCAGCUUGAGUUUGAUGCAUGAGUCAUAAUGAAUCAGAUGUACCAGAGUUGUUGUUUUGAUUCAGCUCAGCAGUUAUGUCUUUGAAUCUGAGUCUCAGAUGGGCACCUGAAUAGACUCAUCACAAAGCUUCAUUGCAAAUUAUACAGUGCAGGGAAGCUCAACAAAUUAUUCUGAUUGUUUCCAGAAAGAAAAAGGAAGGCAGGAUUAUACAGCAUUUAGUGUCACCAAUUAACAAGGUCAUGGGGCUGAACCACUCAUUCCAAAAACUUAAUAUCUACAAACUCAAGCACAAGGAGCCUCUUUUAAUUAUUUGGAAACUGUGGGCUGCAGGGAAAGCGAGUGCUCUCAGCCUUGUGAUCUGAGCAAGGUUCAGGAGCUGGAGUGGGUUUGGCUGAGUCACCACUGGCUGCAUGACCCCACACACAUCACCUGACCUCCACAUGCUUCAGCUGGCCCGGCUGUAGAGAUGAGAAAAUGCAGCCGGAAGGCCCCAAGGGGCAAAAACAGCCUUCUGCACACAGCUGCCCUGGGGCAGCUUCCUGCGGCACAGUUUAGCUCUAUCAGAGGCAGGGGGACCCUAGUCUGGGCCACCAAAGCAGCCUUACCUAAAAGCCACCUUUGGGAAAGGGCCUGUUUCAUGCCGCAAGUGUAGGAGUAUAAGAGUUUUGACGUAAAUGAGAGAAAGAGAAUAAGGUCACAACUGAAGGAGGAUGUAGGAUCGCAGAUUCUUUUUAAAGGGGCGAGUACAACAUAUGUAUGCUAGGGGGAAUGAACCAAUAGACAGGAGAACUGAUGAUGUGGAUAGGUGAAGUCAUCAUUGCAGGUGGUACCUCUUCUAUGACUGCAGUAACUUACUUAACUUCACAUCCAUUGUAUGUGGUGAGUAGUGUUCCUAUCUUCAUCUAUGGAUGAGAAAAAUGAAGCAAAGAAAGGUCAGAAACUGGUUCAUGGGCACAUGGUGAUUAAGCGACAGAACCAGGAUGCAAAUCUGGACCUUCUGUUUCCAGAGCCUGUGCUUUCACUGCUGUGCCACACGUCUGCAACUUUAAAUUCCCAUCAAUUCACAUUUAUUGAUUACUUUGUAUCUAGCAGUCACUAGCCAAGGUUGAAUGGCGAGAGGAAGAAAGAGUGAAAUCCCAGCCUCGGGCCUUUUUUUUUUUUAUCACUCUCUUGGAAACAUCACACUUUGCCCUCAAAGACAAGCUAGAGAGAAAUGCUGCUGCUGCAGUUUGAGUGAUGCCCAUGAAGUCAGGGUUAUUGCCAAUACCUGAUGCUUCCAGAAUGUGUCUCACCUGCAGAAACACUGAGAGGUCAAUUUUGAAGCACAUGGGAAAUAAAACUCAUUCUUCAGGGUCAUUCCCAAAUCAAGAAUUUAAUUAAUCUUCUCAUAAACUUCUCCCACUCUUAUUUUGAUCCCACAGGAGAGAUUUCUGAGAAAAUAGCUCAGCUUUUCCCAACCAAAAUGUAUGCAGCUUGGCAUUCCUUUGGACCCUGUCUACAGUGGUUAAAUAAAUCACUUGUUGCUAAACAGAGCAAUUUAUUCCCCUGACAUCUGCAUGGCCCUCUUGGUUUAUUUUAAAAUAUAUCAACUAACUUGCCACAGCUGCCAUUGCUUUUAAUGUGUCUGACACAUCCAAUUUCAAUAGCUCAAUGAAAAUGUCAUGCGAUAAAACAGAGAGAGGCAGACAGAGAAGGUGAUGAGAGUCGAUGUGCAGACACACCCUUGGAAAGCAAGCAACAAAAACACUUGUUCAGGUGGGAUUCAGGAAAGGGUCUUCCUGCCAGUAGUUUGGGAAAUUAAUUAUAUUACAUAGAAACAUCUCUUU